rnacentral:lncRNA from 1 species
UAUUUGGCGUUUCAAAUUGCAUGAUUCUGGAUCUACAGGAAGUAGAGUGAUUAGUGAGUUUGUAUGGCAUGCGCAAUUGCAUUGACAUAGAAGCUUAGCAAACUCUAUAGUUUUUAUGAAAUGUCUUUGUCUUUUCUCCAUAAUUUGUCAUUCUCACUGCUAAGCAUUUUUACCCAUAAGUAGGUGUUGUUGAACCUCUUCUUCCUUUAGCAGAUUCUUAUUUAGUACACCAGUUCUUCUGCAUCUCCAUCUUUUCUUCAAAUUCUGCAGUUUUUAAAAUAUUUUAUGACCUUACCC